GGUGGAAAAAUCCAGCACAUACUCAGUGGCUAAUUCCCCUCCCUGCUACAUAUGGGCACCAUCAUGUUUCUAAUUUGAAUUGCCCUGGCUUUAAAUUCCAGCUGUCCAGACUCCCCAGUCCAUACACAGUCCACCUGACCACAUUCUUUUUCAAAAGAAGACGUAGGUUCCUCUCCUGGAUUCCUAUCAUCCACCUGAUCCCACUGCCUCAUCAGUUAGCAACAUAGAAAGAGCUAUGAGAGACUGAUUAUAACUUCUUGUUGGUUACAGAGCUAAACUCUUUUAUCAGCUACAAGCUGAAUGACCUGCCGUGCUCCCACAGAACCAGGCUGAUCUUAGAAGCAAAGCUGGCCUACUGCCUUACAAGCUUUAUGGCAAUUUUAAAAAAGGAUUGAAAAUGGUGAAUAUGAUCUGUGUGAAUUUUCCCUGAGGUGCAGUGAUCUGAAGCCCAACGGGCUAGAGCUCCGUGUCGUGCUCUAGUCUGAAGCUGUCAAACCUCUGCUGCCUUCCAUCUCCAUAAUCUUCUUUACAGGCAGACAUACAUCUGCAGUACUGUGUCCAGUUUGGGGCUCCCCACUACAGAAAGGAUGUGGACAAAUUGGAAAGAGUCCAGUGGAGAGCAGUGAAAAUGAAGGAACAUGAUGUGAGUGCCUUUGGUGUUGUGUCCUUCUGAGUCCACCCCAUCUCAUCGCUUCCAACCCCAGGGAAGGGAAUGGCACAGCUUGGAAUGCCAUCUGCUGAGAAGCUAACUUGGAGAGUCUGAAGCCGAACAUUGCUGGAAUUCCCAUGGAAGAGAGCCAAGAUCUGCUGCACAGAGAGCCAGCAUGCAUCCCUCACCAUAAAAAUCACACAAGAAAGAACCGUUCCAGAGAGAGAAGUCACAGAAUUUGGACUGAAUUAGCUAAAUUGAACUAGUAAUAACGAUGUACUGUAUGUAGUGUUGCAAUUCAUAUGCCUCUACAGUGUUGAAGGUCAGUGGUGAAUGCAUGUCAGGUCCUUGAUCCAAAGGCGUUUGACCCUGGGAGGACUUGUUACAAUUAAUAGCCUUGAUUUCAAUGGGAGUACUUCAAUGAAGCCCGGGCAAUAAAUUUUGUGUGCAAUUGUGUUUAUAGGAAUAGGCUUCAAAGCACAAGCAAAAGCAAACUGAGCAACGCACCACAUCACCUACGCAGAGAUGUCUGGCCAUUGUCUUUUUACCGACUCAGCAGGGCUGAAGUGGGAGUGUGGUAUACAUGAAUGGGGAAGCUAAUCUCCAUGUGUGGGGCUACAUACAGAAGUGGACAAGGAGGCAAGGAAAAGAGCUGGUGUGGAAGGGUGAAGACUGGGGAGUAGGGAUAGGAGAAGCCAGUAUGUUAUUUGGAAUUAAAAAAGGAAGUGAUAUGCGUAUUUAGACAGACAAGGUUCUUUGGGUGAAUCUGACAUCUUUUAUUAGACCAAAUUAAAUAGCUGGGGAAAAAUUUUUUUAGCAAGCUUUCAGGUUUAAAAACCCUUUGCCAGGCUGAGGAAGCCUCUGCAGUUGGUGUGUGCUCUUCCUGGAUGGACUGAAUAGUAAAUAUGUGUAUUUAAGAAGUCAGGAACCAUGAUAAGAGGAGCAUGAAUGGAAAAUAUCCUCAGAAGAUGCAUUUGGGAGUGAGUGAACUAGAGGUAGGGUCGGGAAGAAUUAAGAGGAGUGCAAACCAGUCAGAUGUAUCCCAGCACCUUACAAAACCAAACACUAUGUGAAGCCUGAACUAGCAAGAGAUACAAAGGUUUCAGCGAACAUUCAACGCUGUCGGUGAGUUUUGGCAGUCAGGUUAAACCAUCGACCGUUGAGUGUACCCUGCAACCUUGGUAACACCUGAACUGAAGGAUUUAGGCUUAAAAACAGUCUCCCUAAAAUAGCCUUCACUUAAACAUAGCACAUUAUAAAAUACAAUUGCUUUGUCUUCAAAAGUGCUAAUUCAGUUGACUUAGCUAACUGGAUUUAAUAUAUGUCAAUAUUAGCACUUCUUCACACAGUAAAACUUUUCAGAAAAACUGUUCUGCAGUAAUUUAUUCCAAAAUUUUUCCUUGUGUGGCCAUGCUAUUCUAGAUUAAAAGUUACUUUGUUUUGGAAGAGGUUGCAUGUUUCCAAAGUAGAGUAAUUAUUUAGGAUUUUAUCACUCAAACGCCAUCCUUAUCGAGAACAUUAGUGACACGACAGAAUAUGGUCACUUUUAUUUUGGAAUAGGACACAUGGAGCUCUAUUCUGGAACAGCUAUGGCUAUUCCAGUCAGCUUCACGAUGUAGAUAGCACCCAGUUUGCUGCUUGUAGAUAGCACCUAGUUUAGAGAAGCUUUUGAUAGUUAACCUGUGAGCAAGUGGAAUUGUUACUUCCAUUUGGGCUUAACUCAAGACUACUUGCUCUCAGCGCUUCAUGAUAGCUGUACUAUAAGAUUCCUCAGAAGCUGUUGCAACUCUGCAAUUUAGAACUGGAACUGUCUGAAGAGACAGGCAUAUUUUCCCUGUGAGCAAAGGUGUGGUUCUGGAAUUAGAGAAGGGUACUUUUUACUCCCAGUGUUCUGUCCCUAGGUCGAUCGCUUUCCCUUCCUUGUGCCUCCGUUUCAUUCAUCCUUGCAACAAGGAUAAUAUUGACCUUCCUACCCAGAAGACUGAGGUUUAAUCUUUUAACAUUUCUAAUGCUCUGUGAGAUGCUCCUGCUGUAGAAACAUGAGCUGCUAUUUCUGAUUAUUCUCCAUGUCCCUGCUCUGUUCC